CAUAUAGUAGCUUAAGCUUAAAGCAUUAAACUUUUAAUUUAAAUAUAAGAAUUUCUUUUAUAUGG
rnacentral:tRNA from 1 species